rnacentral:rRNA from 1 species
UGCCUAAUACAUGCAAGUCGAGCGAACCAAUAAGAAGCUUGCUUUUUGUUGGUUAGCGGCGGACGGGUGAGUAACACGUGGGUAACCGUGCCUGUAAGACCGGGAUAACUCCGGGAAACCGGUGCUAAUACCGGAUAGAUUAUCUUUCCACCUGGAGAGAUAAGGAAAGAUGGCUUUUGCCAUCACUUACAGAUGGGCCCGCGGCGCAUUAGCUAGUUGGUGAGGUAACGGCUCACCAAGGCGACGAUGCGUAGCCGACCUGAGAGGGUGAUCGGCCACACUGGGACUGAGACACGGCCCAGACUCCUACGGGAGGCAGCAGUAGGGAAUCUUCCGCAAUGGACGAAAGUCUGACGGAGCAACGCCGCGUGAGCGAAGAAGGUCUUCGGAUCGUAAAGCUCUGUUGUUAGGGAAGAACAAGUAUCGGAGGAAAUGCCGGUACCUUGAACGGUACCUGACGAGAAAGCCACGGCUAACUACGUGCCAGCAGCCGCGGUAAUACGUAGGUGGCAAGCGUUGUCCGGAAUUAUUGGG